AGAUGCGUAGCCCAGUGGUGAGUUGUUGUGUUGUGUACAGUGAGGUCGUGGGUUCGAAUCCCCGCCUCGCCUA
rnacentral:tRNA from 1 species